UGUGUGAUUCAACAUGGCAUGCAAAGGGUCAAUUUUAUUCUUUAGUAAGAAUUUCGGUUUAUUUCUCACUAUUCUCUCAAAAUGUUCAACAACUACAAAAGAGAAAUGCCACUUCCAACAGCUUUAAAAGCAUAGUUCCGCAUGGAAGUAAGAGUUAGUGAAGAGGAUUUAUCACAACGCAUGCCCAGUGACAGUGCAGAUGUCCCAGCAGCCUCAGAGAGUACCAGGCAGAUCAAGCCAACUCAGACCUAGCUACAAGUUCUCUCAGACUGUGCGCAACCAGCCUUCUGCAGAUGCACAGCAGGGCAUUCAAGUUACGGGCCAACAGCCUCUUCUCCCAAGUGUCCUGGCACAAGCAACUCCCCAAGAACAGAAACAGAUGUUAGGUGAACGUCUGUUCCCCCUGAUCCAAAACA